GCUGUGUUUGGAGCCUAGUGGAAGUUUACAUGUUAAUGUGGAAUUGCUGAAUGGAUCGUUCUCAGACGUUCCAAUGGGUGUUAUCACUGAGACUGGAGUUCCAGGUAAAAAAAUAUUUUAAUUAUUUUUAAUUCCUAGUAAACAUGAUUUCUUAACUCCUUUUAAAUCCACAGGGACAUAUAUUCCAGGUGUGCUAGGUGUGUGCUGCACAUCCGUCAAAAAUGGCAAAUUCAUUAUAAACAUUAACCUUACUCGUUAAUUUAACCACAAACCAUAAUGGAAAACUUAUGAUGCUAUACCCCUGCUUGAAAUUUGGUGGCAGGUGUCCAGAAAUAACACUGUACACCACACAGCGCAUCGUAUCAUAAUAUGGUACUGGGCAGCAAAUAGUAGGAUAAUGGGAAAAUGGCAAAAAAUUAAUGGUGAAGGAUGUGCGACAGCUUUGACAGCAUGGUCGCAUGUUCAGUUCCAUGGCAAGAAGUUGUACAUUUAAAUUAAUUUAGAAUUCCUAAAGUAAAACUAAUUUUUGUUACAAUAAUUUUUUUCUUACAGUAUCAUCAUAUAACUUUGAUCUGAAUUUGUUUUCAAAACUAAUAAUACACUUUUAGAAGUCAGAAACCAAACUUAGCCCAUUACCUACCAGUGAUCUCAUAUGAGGUCACUUAAAAAUUACAAAUUUCAUAAUUAUCUGUCAAUAUUUACACAUAUCUAACCUUUUUGCUAUAUCUACUAGG